AGUCUCACUUUAUCACCCAGGCUGGAGUGCACUGGCGCGAUCUCAGCUCACAGCAACCUGCACCUCCCAGGUUCAAGUGAUUCUCCCACCUCAGUCUCUCAAGUAGCUGGGAUUACAGUCACCCACUACCAUGCCUGGUAACAACCAAUUUUGGAACUAUGAAAAGUUCUUCUCUACUUUUAACAAAGCUUAGUCGCAAACAGUUCCCCAGUUGAUGAGAGAAACUGAAACAACAGAACAACUGAAAGUCCAAAUCUGAAAGCUCCAUCUCUGAGAACCAAAUUUUACAGCCACUCCAGAUUUGUACUCCAAAUGGUUAGUCUGAUUAUAGAAAUCACAUCCCUUCAGCCUCCAAAUGUGAUAAUUGCCCAAGAGACAGUGAUGCCUAGAUCCAUAGAUAAUCCCCUUUCCCCCAACCUAUAUAUAACUGGAGUCAACAGCAGCUGGAGGAAAAUGGCAAGGACUUGGAAUCAAGAUUAAGUUAGAAUAACACUGCUGUAGACUGUUUAUCAAUUCUUCAGCGUAUUUCCGUUUUCCUUGAAGGAUGAGCGUUUAGAAACCUCUGACAAUAAAGUUUAUUUUACACACA